AGGCCUAACACAUGCAAGUCGAGCGGCAGCACGGGAAGCUUGCUUCCUGGUGGCGAGCGGCGGACGGGUGAGUAAUGCAUAGAAAUCUGCCCGGUAGUGGGGGAUAACCUGGGGAAACCCAGGCUAAUACCGCAUACGUCCUACGGGAGAAAGCAGGGGAUCUUCGGACCUUGCGCUAUCGGAUGAGUCUAUGUCGGAUUAGCUUGUUGGUGAGGUAAUGGCUCACCAAGGCGACGAUCCGUAGCUGGUCUGAGAGGAUGAUCAGCCACAUCGGGACUGAGACACGGCCCGAACUCCUACGGGAGGCAGCAGUGGGGAAUAUUGGACAAUGGGCGAAAGCCUGAUCCAGCCAUGCCGCGUGUGUGAAGAAGGCCUUCGGGUUGUAAAGCACUUUCAGUGGGGAAGAAAGCCUCGGGGCUAAUACCCUCGAGGAAGGACAUCACCCACAGAAGAAGCACCGGCUAACUCCGUGCCAGCAGCCGCGGUAAUACGGAGGGUGCGAGCGUUAAUCGGAAUUACUGGGCGUAAAGCGCGCGUAGGCGGUCUGAUAAGCCGGUUGUGAAAGCCCCGGGCUCAACCUGGGAACGGCAUCCGGAACUGUCAGGCUAGAGUGCAGGAGAGGAAGGUAGAAUUCCCGGUGUAGCGGUGAAAUGCGUAAAGAUCGGGAGGAAUACCAGUGGCGAAGGCGGCCUUCUGGACUGACACUGACCCUGAGGUGCGAAAGCGUGGGUAGCAAACAGGAUUAAAUACCCUGGUAGUCA
rnacentral:rRNA from 1 species